UUCAUUUCAAGGCGCUCUGACAUUCGCAGGCUUAGGUUUAUUUCGUCCUGUACUGUUAAGCGAUAAAUUCACUGCCUCAAAAACAAAACUAAAUGUGCAUAGUACACGAAUUCCCUGUUUUUAGUGAUUCGGGGCGAUUCAAAUCUGACUGAUGAAAGCAUUCGUAAUAAUCUUUAAUACGUACACAUUGCCACAAAGCCGGCAGCUGCAUCCAUCCACCGCUAACUGACAAACUUUACGACCAAUUUACUAUGCUCUUCCCCAUAUAGAAAUACAAUGUGUCCGUGUACGUGUACUAUGUAUCAUAAGUUCGCCAAAAACUUGCUAACAAUGCGUAGAAACUCAGGGAGAAAGGGGUGGGGAGGAUUGUGAGGAAAA